rnacentral:rRNA from 1 species
UACGAAGGGGGCUAGCGUUGUUCGGAAUCACUGGGCGUAAAGCGUGCGCAGGCGGUUGUGCAAGACCGAUGUGAAAUCCCCGGGCUCAACCUGGGAAUGGCAUCGGUGACUGCACGGCUAGAGUGUGUCAGAGGGGGGUAGAAUUCCACGUGUAGCAGUGAAAUGCGUAGAGAUGUGGAGGAAUACCGAUGGCGAAGGCAGCCCCCUGGGAUAACACUGACGCUCAUGCACGAAAGCGUGGGGAGCAAACAGG